rnacentral:rRNA from 1 species
AUUGAACGCUGGCGGCAGGCCUAACACAUGCAAGUCGAACGAGUGGCGGACGGGUGAGUAAUGUCUGGGAAACUGCCCGAUGGAGGGGGAUAACUACUGGAAACGGUAGCUAAUACCGCAUACCAUCGGAUGUGCCCAGAUGGGAUUAGCUUGUAGGUGAGGUAACGGCUCACCUAGGCGACGAUCCCUAGCUGGUCUGAGAGGAUGACCAGGCACACGGGAAAUGCGAAACGGGACAGAGUGCAAGGGGAGGAAGCAGUGGGGAAGAUUGGACAAUGGGCGCAAGACUGAUGCAGCCAGGGCGCGUGUAUGAAGAAGGGCUUCGGGUUGUAAAGUACGUUCAGCGGGGAGGCGUUACCCGCAGAAGAAGCACCGGCUAACUCCGUGCCAGCAGACGCGGUAAUAC